GGGAUGGCUUAUGCCUGCACCAUCGACCGACCAUGAUCUUCUGUGAAAGGUUUGAGUACGAGCAUACCUGUUGGGACCCGAAAGAUGGUGAACUAUGCCUGAGCAGGGCGAAGCCAGAGGAAACUCUGGUGGAGGCUCGUAGAUGUGCUGACGUGCAAAUCGCUUUUCGGACUUGGGUAUAGGGGCGAAAGACUACUAGUAGCUGGUUCCCUCCGAAGUUUCCCCCAGGAUAGCUGGAGCUUGAUCAGUUUUAUCGGGUAAAGCGAAUGAUUAGAGGUACCGGGGAUGAACAUCCUCGACCUAUUCUCAAACUUUAAAUAGGUAAGACGUCUGGGUUGCUUAAUUGAACCCAGGCAUUCAAUGAGAGCUCCAAGUGGGCCAUUUUU
rnacentral:rRNA from 1 species